GACGAACGCUGGCGGCGUGCCUAAUACAUGCAAGUCGAACGCUUCUUUUUCCACCGGAGCUUGCUCCACCGGAAAAAGAGGAGUGGCGAACGGGUGAGUAACACGUGGGUAACCUGCCCAUCAGAAGGGGAUAACACUUGGAAACAGGUGCUAAUACCGUAUAACAAUCGAAACCGCAUGGUUUUGAUUUGAAAGGCGCUUUCGGGUGUCGCUGAUGGAUGGACCCGCGGUGCAUUAGCUAGUUGGUGAGGUAACGGCUCACCAAGGCCACGAUGCAUAGCCGACCUGAGAGGGUGAUCGGCCACAUUGGGACUGAGACACGGCCCAAACUCCUACGGGAGGCAGCAGUAGGGAAUCUUCGGCAAUGGACGAAAGUCUGACCGAGCAACGCCGCGUGAGUGAAGAAGGUUUUCGGAUCGUAAAACUCUGUUGUUAGAGAAGAACAAGGAUGAGAGUAACUGUUCAUCCCUUGACGGUAUCUAACCAGAAAGCCACGGCUAACUACGUGCCAGCAGCCGCGGUAAUACGUAGGUGGCAAGCGUUGUCCGGAUUUAUUGGGCGUAAAGCGAGCGCAGGCGGUUUCUUAAGUCUGAUGUGAAAGCCCCCGGCUCAACCGGGGAGGGUCAUUGGAAACUGGGAGACUUGAGUGCAGAAGAGGAGAGUGGAAUUCCAUGUGUAGCGGUGAAAUGCGUAGAUAUAUGGAGGAACACCAGUGGCGAAGGCGG
rnacentral:rRNA from 1 species